ACGGGUUUCUUUGUGCUUUCUCUGUGUUUUGUGUAUUUUUUAUACUCAAAUCACUUUGAAUCUCAUUCACAAUCCCGCCUCCAAUCGCCAUUACAUGU